rnacentral:rRNA from 1 species
UACAGAGGUCUCAAGCGUUGUUCGGAUUCAUUGGGCGUAAAGGGUGCGUAGGCGGUGUCGUAAGUCGGAUGUGAAAUCCCGGGGCUUAACUUCGGAACUGCAUUCGAUACUGCGAUACUCGAGGACUCGAGAGGAGAUUGGAAUUCACGGUGUAGCAGUGAAAUGCGUAGAUAUGUGGAGGAAUACCGAUGGCGAAGGCAGCCCCCUGGGAUAACACUGACGCUCAUGCACGAAAGCGUGGGGAGCAAACAGG